rnacentral:rRNA from 1 species
UGGGGAAUAUUGGACAAUGGGGGCAACCCUGAUCCAGCCAUGCCGCGUGAAUGAUGAAGGCCUUCGGGUUGUAAAGUUCUUUUGGCGGGGACGAUGAUGACUGUACCCGCAGAAUAAGCUCCGGCUAACUUCGUGCCAGCAGCCGCGGUAAUACGAAGGGAGCAAGCGUUGUUCGGAAUUACUGGGCGUAAAGGGCGCGUAGGCGGCAAUUCAAGUCAUCUGUGAAAUCUCCGGGCUUAACUCGGAACGGUCAGAUGAUACUGCUUUGCUAGAGUGCAGAAGGGGCAAUCGGAAUUCUUGGUGUAGCGGUGAAAUGCGUAGAUAUCAAGAGGAACACCUGAGGUGAAGACGGGUUGCUGGGCUGACACUGACGCUGAGGCGCGAAAGCCAGGGGAGCAAACGGGAUUAGAUACCCCAGUAGUCCCUGAGCGGGCUGGCAAGGCGCAU